rnacentral:rRNA from 1 species
UACGUAGGGUGCGAGCGUUGUCCGGAAUUAUUGGGCGUAAAGAGCUUGUAGGCGGUUUGUCGCGUCUGCUGUGAAAAUCCGGGGCUCAACCCCGGACUUGCAGUGGGUACGGGCAGACUAGAGUGUGGUAGGGGAGACUGGAAUUCCUGGUGUAGCGGUGGAAUGCGCAGAUAUCAGGAGGAACACCGAUGGCGAAGGCAGGUCGCUGGGCCGCUACUGACGCUGAGAAGCGAAAGCGUGGGGAGCGAACAGG